GUUGUUCCUAAGCGGCAGAAGCCAGACACAGGUGUUAAGUAUGAGACAAGGAUUUCGUUUUGGGAAACAGGAUUAUCCCUCAACAUGGCUUUAGUGAGAAGAAGAGCAAUGCUGCUAAUAUUAGGAACAAGGAAGCACGUCAAAUCCCCACGUACAGCCUGAGGAAGUCAAGGAGAGAUACAUGGCUUGAGGAAGCAAGAAAAGACUCAAAGAAUAACCCCUGCAAGUAGCAGAUCCGGGGUCCACGUGAACAAGGAGGUGCCCGGGAGAGGCUGAGUGAGGGAUGCUGCUUUGAGAGGAUGCCAAGGUUCUGAAGUUCCCGUAUCCUAGAGCCACCUAGCUGAGCGAUUCUGGCCCAGGGUCUCGGCAGUCAAGCUGUCUCCCAGCUCUGCAGUCAUCUCAUCUGGCUUGACCAGGACUGAAGGGUCAGCUUUCGAGCUCACUCAAGUGUGAUGAGCAGGCCUCAAUCGCCUCAGACGACCAUCUAGUAUCGCCAUCCUUAACAUAAAGGAGGCUACGUUUGUAUCAUCACAAUUGCGCGAUUGAACUAUAGGGGAAGAGAAAUGUCUUUUGGUUUCUGAAUGUUUCCUCUUGAUGUUUCUAUUGCCCUUAAAAGAAAUUUCAGUGAUGGUCCGGAUGACUGGAGGCCACAAUGGAAGGAGUAUAGUAAGCUUGUAUUUGAACUGGAAAGAAAAUCAGUGAAUAUAGAAGUUAUUGCAGUCAAUUCACAUUUGAUUGUUCAAGAUUUCUGCGUGGGGAAACAAACCGGGUCAUUCAGGGGGCCUUUCAGCUCUCCGUAAGAGAAAGCUCAAUUAAACAUGACCAACAAUAAGGACAAUUAAAUCAAGAAUUAUAACAAGAAGCCCUAUUAUCUGCUGUUCCAGAGUUAUUGAAUUCAACCCCUCUGAGAGGCUCUGGGCUUUCCUGUGAUGGUGACAAGAUUGUCCAUGCUGGUCCGAGCAUCCUGUCUUUGCACAUCAGUGACCCGGGCCGUCAAGAAGAAGGGCAUGGCUUCCCCGCAGUGAGUUCUGUGUCAGUGCAGAGGUUCUCUUCAGGGUGAAGAGCCAAGGCUGUUCCUCUGGGAGGAUCAGCCCACGGUCCACAUCAAUUAAGUGAAAGAGCCUACAGAUUAGUUACCUGCUUAAAUGUGUGUACCAAGUCAACUUAUCUACUUGGCAGUUAUCUCUUCUUUAUAAAAUAGGACACAAGAGAAAACAUUUGACUUGUGUUUGGUCAGAUUUCCAAUAAAUAGAUAAUUUUAACCCAGAAUAUUUUGAAUAAUCUCAUUAACAUACCUCUGCAGUUGACUUCUCUGGAUUCAAUCUGAAUAUUACUAGCAAUCGACUGUGACUACACUGGGCCAAACUUCAGAGUCUGGAAUCAUAAAGACCUAAGUUACAGCGACUGAGUUCUUUGGUACUGAGUAGCUGUAUGUUAAGCAUGGCUCACAGAAAUAGAUAAUGCCUUGUGCUCCCCUAUGCUCCUGACACCUAGUUUAUGCAUCACUUCUGAUUUACAUGGAUGUUGAAAUGCCUCAUGGGAAAGUGGCACAUGGAGACUGAUAAGCUGAAUAGAUUGAGAUAUGAGAACGGAGACAGAUGGCAAGAUUGUGAGUUUUCAGAGAGAACUCUACCUUGGAAGUUGUGAAGUGUGGCACGAUGGGGCAGCUUCAGCGACAGGGCCUGAGGCUCCUGGUACUGUCCGGCUGCCUUGACCUAGACUUUCUGGAAGCAUUGUAUGCUGUGGGCGUAAAGUGCUGUGUGACAUUCUCAAAGAGCCACGACCCUGAAGUCUGUAUUCAUUUGAGACUCUGCUACACAGAAGCAGGAUAAAGGUAAAGGAGAUAUUUCAUUGUCCUCUUCAGGUAAUGGAGAUGACACCAGUGUCUGGGGCAGUUCAGUAGCAGCAUGAGCAUCAGCCUGAAUGGUGCUCCGAAUACCUAAGUGGGAAACAGAAGGAGAUAGAAGAGUGGACCAUGCAGAGUAUGGAGCAACUCCGAGUGGAGCUGGCCUGGGUCUUGAUGAUUCUAUGGCUCAUCGGGUAUAUAAUCAAUGCCCUGCAGAUUCUGCUAGAAGAGAGCCUUCUGGAAUAGGACUGAAGUUCUGCAUUAUGAAGGUUUUGCUAAAACAAAUCAGACCUCUGUGAACAUCUGCAUAAUGUCUCUGGGAUUAUGGGCAAGAGUUUCUGAUGGUUUUAUACCUGGAAUUGGAUUUUGGUGUCAUGACUUCUCCCGGAUAUCGUCAGAUCAUUUUCCAAAGUUAUUUUGUCAAAUUACGUUCCACCAACAUUUGUUCCACAUCCUCACAAACACUGAGUAUUGUCAGACUUUUCAAUAUUUUUCAUCUGUCUUUUUCAGGUGUGACUUGGACCUGGAUCUUCCAUAUAAAUUUCAGAGUUACAAAAACCUAAAACAAAAUGAGCAAAGCAGUUGGUAUACUGAUGAUUGGAAUUGCACGGAUUCUAUGUAUCAGUUUCGGGAAAUCUGACGUACUGGUAAUACUGAAUCUUUCUAAUCUUGCCAGAAUUUGAAGUUAAUUUAGAUAUUCUUUAAUGUCUUAUAAUAAAGUUUUGUAAUUUUAGUUUCAGUCCUAUUCUUUUAAAUGUUUUAGAAUCAUUCAUAGUUAUACUGUUUUUAUUAAUCUUAUAAAUGCUACUUUAAUAUUUAAUUUCUGAUAAGUAUGAAAAUUCAAUUUAUUUUUAUAUAGUGAUUUUAAACCUAACUCUUGUAUGUAGCAAACUUCCUCAUCUCUCACUAAUUUCACCUGUUAUUUUUCGUUGGUUCUGAGGCCCACACAUCUUUCUACAGUAGCCAUCGGCGGCUGGAGCUAGAUGCUUGAAAACUACAUUUCCCAGAAUGCCUUGCGAACUGGGCGGUUUAGGUUCUGGCAAAGGCAAAGCUCUCAGGAGAUGAGAGAGGGGGUGAGAGGAGUAAGGGAGAAGCCGUGCGGCCUGUGGCUUCCACAGGCAACAGUGGGCUUUGAUGGUGGCAGCAGCCGCAGGAGCAGUGGCUUUAGGGAACUGAGCAUUCUAGCGGUGGUGGUGGUGGUAACUGGAAGCAGAUGCUGAUUCUGUGGUGACUAGGUGGUGGCCUGAGGGCAGAGGCACGUGGGCUCAGAAGAAUGUAGGUUUUGGCAGAGCUGGUGACCCCCAAAGGGACUGGAGUCUCCUGCAGUAGUGCCUGCCACUGAGUUGGGUCAUCUGAUCUCCUUCUGGAGUGGUGACAGCUUCCUAUAGUCUCUUUCUAGUCCCUCCACGAUGCUUCCCUUCACUUCUCUAGUGGUCCUGCAGUUUAGUAACCUGAUUACUGGUAUGAAAUCUCUCUCUGUCGUUUCUGCUUUCCUGACUGUACUUUGAGUUGUGUAUUAAUUAGAAUUAUUUAUCUGUAGAUUUUGAGGUUUACUAUUUAGAGACUCAUAAUGUGCACAUUAUGAAAUAUUUGUUUCUUCUUUUCAAAUUCUUGCGUAUUAUCCUUAUCUUCUCCUCUUACGCUGACUAGACCCUUCUGCAAAAGAUGGAAUAAAAUUGUUCACAAUGGGCACACAUGGUCUAGAUUUAUAAUGUCUUAAUCUGGAUUUUAAAAGGAAG
ensembl:lncRNA